UACGGGGGGGGCAAGCGUUGUUCGGAAUUACUGGGCGUAAAGGGCUCGUAGGCGGUUUGUCGCGUCGGGAGUGAAAUCCACUGGCUUAACUGGUGGCUUGCUUUCGAUACGGGCAGACUGGAGGUAUGCAGGGGAGAACGGAAUUCCUGGUGUAGCGGUGAAAUGCGCAGAUAUCAGGAGGAACACCGGUGGCGAAGGCGGUUCUCUGGGCAUGUCCUGACGCUGAGGAGCGAAAGCGUGGGGAGCGAACAGG
rnacentral:rRNA from 1 species